CCCUGGGUGGCUCAGUUGGUUAAGUGUCUGACUUCGGCUCAGGUCAUGAUCUUACGGUUUGUGGGUUCAAGCCCCACAUCAGGCU
rnacentral:tRNA from 1 species